rnacentral:lncRNA from 1 species
AUGUAUACAAAAACUUGAACUGCACUCCUCAGCUAAGACAACAUCACUUCCCAAAGUGAGUUUAUUGUCCUCAAGGGUGAAUUUUUCAAUUUUUUUAUGGGUGACUCAUGUUGUUGAUGGUCCCAAGUGUAUGGAAGGUCUGUUUUGGGUUGUCCAUUGUGUAUCAAGGAGCUCAUGUGAGUGUUUCCAACAGGGGAGGUCAAUUGUCUCAACAAUUAUAGGCCAAGAAGGCUUGAUAAUCGCUUAAAACUACCCUAUAAGCAAUUAACAAAGGCUAAAAGACGUUUUGUACAAAAACUUGACCUGUACU